CCCAGGAAGUUCACCAGGGGACGGAUUCUCAGAAAUCACGAUUAUGAGCCCCAGACUAUCAACCCCUCGUUCCCGUGUUCAGUCGCCUGCUCCUGCAGCCAAAACAAAUCUAUCCAGCAGGCAGUUCGCCUGAAGAAAACCCCAAACUCCUGAGUUGGGAUUGGGAGAGGACUAAACCAAGCCGCAGAGGAGAUGCCCCGCACGUCCAAGCCCCCAACUCCAACUCACCGAGUUUAAGAGAAAAGAGUCCCCGAAACAUCCCGCCCGCUAUUCUAGUUAGGACCCAGCCCUUGAUAUUCCCCGGAAGGCUCCCCGCUCCACCUUCCCGAAAACGAAAGUGGCGGCAGCCCCUGCUUUUCUCCUUCUCGAGACACCCCACUCGAAGGAACGGGACGAGAGAAUUGAACCUUCUGGCUAGCAAGAAAGAACCUCCAAGCUUACCUGCAGAGAUGCGACGCGGGCAGUGAAUGGUGUAAAAAGAAGCUGGGAAGAGAGGCAGAGAGAUACCCUUCAGAAAAAAGCCUGAGGAAAGUGCCAGUUGGCUGCUGUUCCAAGGCAAGUUAGCCUUGGCAAAUUGGCCCAUCCUGCCCCACAGCCUGCAAGGACACUCACCUCUUUAGAGCCGAAGUACCACAUGGCUUGGAUAUCAUGAUGCUCAGCUAAACUUCG